rnacentral:rRNA from 1 species
AAUGAACGCUGGCGGCGUGGAUUAGGCAUGCAAGUCGAACGCGAAAGUUCCCUUCGGGGAGCGAGUAGAGUGGCGAAAGGGUGAGUAAUGCUUGGAUGACCUGCCCUCGAGACGGGGACAACAGUUCGAAAGGACUGCUAAUACCCGAUAGUCCGGUUUAGAUGCGUCUAGAUCGGUAAAUGGUGCUUCCGCUCGAGGAGGGGUUCAAGUCCUAUCAGCUUGUUGGUGAGGUAACGGCUCACCAAGGCGAUGACGGGUAGCCGGACUGAGAGGUUGGCCGGCCACAUGGGAACUGAGACACUGUCCUGACUCCUACGGGAGGCUGCAGUCGAGAAUCUUCCGCAAUGGGCGAAAGCCUGACGGAGCGACGCCGCGUGGAGGAUGAAGGCCUG